GAUGAACGCUAGCGGCAGGCUUAACACAUGCAAGUCGAGGGGUAACAUUGUAGCUUGCUACAGAUGACGACCGGCGCACGGGUGCGUAACGCGUAUACAAUCUACCUUAUACUGGGGGAUAGCCUUUGGAAACGAAGAUUAAUACCCCAUGGUAUUACUGAGUGGCAUCGUUUAGUAAUUAAAACUCCGGUGGUAUAAGAUGAGUAUGCGUUCUAUUAGCUAGAUGGAGAGGUAACGGCUCCCCAUGGCAACGAUAGAUAGGGGUCCUGAGAGGGAGAUCCCCCACACUGGUACUGAGACACGGACCAGACUCCUACGGGAGGCAGCAGUGAGGAAUAUUGGACAAUGGAGGCAACUCUGAUCCAGCCAUGCCGCGUGCAGGAAGACUGCCCUAUGGGUUGUAAACUGCUUUUAUAUGGGAAGAAUAAGUAGUACGUGUACUACGAUGACGGUACCAUACGAAUAAGCACCGGCUAACUCCG
rnacentral:rRNA from 1 species